UUGGAAAUGGAGAACACAAACAAAAAAGUUUUCAUCGUGCUUCAGUGGCCGGAGAUACGUUCGGGGUAACCUGUCUGACGGCGGCACAGGAGGGUCGUACGGAAGAGGAUGCAUACUUGGUAUUUGUUGAAAGUGGCGGAGGUUUCUUUCUCUAAGGUAAAAACAAUCCAGCAACUGGGAGCUGGCUUACGAUCUAGCUAGCUAGCCCCACUGCGUUCCCUUUUUCUGCAUGUGUUUUGCUUUUGAUGCUGUUGUUGUGUGCGCUUUACAGCUUCAUUGUUCGGUUUGCGUUUACAAUAUGAAUCGGCUUGGAGAGAUGGAGCCCUUCUUUCGUAAUUGGCUGUCUGGUUUCUUUUACAUUAUCAGUAAAGCUGCAAUCUUUAGGCCAAUUGUUUUGGUAAAGUGAUAUAAGUUUGUACGACAUUACUAAGAAAUUGGCCUGAAAAAUUGUUGAUUAGGGCGCUAUGGCUUUAAGGGUUGUUCAGUGGUUUGUUUGCCCUUUUGAUCAAAUUCACUAGUUAACAGCCAUGUCAAUGGGUAUUCUCGUUUUAGAGUUAGUUCAUAAUUAGUUAAAUGUUUGUGAAAACUUCAAUCAAUGUGGAGGGGUUUUCAGUUAACUUUCGGUGUUUGACAGUUUUAAGCACUGUUGCUUUUUUAACCAACCUAUGGAGCCAUAAGUGGUCUGGUAUGAAACAAGGUGUUAAAGCUGAUAGAUAGGACCACACUUACUGGCAAUUUAAGGUGCUUUCUGCAGAAAUUCACCUAAACUAAUUCUGGUGUCUUUUAAGUUGGAGAGGUCUUGUUGGGAGUUUAGCUCAUCACGUACCCAGAUUUUAUGUUGAACUUCAAGUACAGGGCUCCAACAAGAAUCAAACUUUUGAGUGUCAAAGAAAGAACGCUUGUGACUAGACCAAGUUUGGAUCACAUAUAUCCACCUGAUGCUAAAAUGUUAUGAUACCAUCCUUAUUAGUGAUGGCUAAGUCAUUCUUGUCCAUUGUUAAAGCCCUUAUUUUUGUUGAUACUGCCAUCACUCACACCAGCAGUGGUGGUUCAGGUGGUGAAAUAAAAAAACAAGCUAACUCAAUUAUGCUAGAAUGUCGUUUCCACUCGAUAUAUCAGCUAUGAGCAAUACCCUAUAUAUCCCAAGACAUCAUAGACAUCUUCUCUUCCUCUGCAUCAUACAAUUGGUAGGCUAAGUAACCCGAAACGUGCAGAGAUGCAUUCUGGAGUCCCUCUGAACGAACAACUACUCAGUUGUUGAAGACUUGAAGUCAUAUUUACGCUUGCUUACCUGCUAGUCCAGCAUGUAAAGAAUGAGAAGAACAUCCUGGGAAAAGGUAGGUGGUCCUUGCUUUCUGCCUGUUAUAGUGUGUGGCAUAGCAAUUGGAGCUGUAAAGUUGUUCAAGUUUUAGGAAAUUGUAUUAUCAUGUAGAAGUAACCGUGUGAGAGGACAGACUAACUAAUCUCAUAAUUUAUUGAAUAAUUUGUAAGUCUGUUGUUGAUAAUGAAGUAUCCUGGUGCAGGAUGUAGGGUCAACCAAGGCAGGAUUUAGACUUUUCUUCCAUGGCAGGAAUAGACUGAUAAUCUAUUUUAUCUGUAUCUUGUUUGUCUUCCUCCUCUAUCAUAACUCUUGGUUGUUUCAGGGUUGUAUGAAUGUAUAUAGCAGAAGAAUCAGAACAUACCCACUUAUCUCCAACAGAUAAAAUAAACACCGAGAAAGUUCUGGUAUCAUGUAGAGAACUAUUGCAUUUUUAGGAGAGGUUGAUAACCAGUUUUCAUAGCAUUCUGGUAAUUCCAGAAUUUGAAAAUGGUGUUAGCUAACAAGGUGGUUUUGCUUGACAGAUGUGAAUACAUAUUUGCUUUUUGGGGUUGGGGUUAAGUAAAGAGUCAAUCUUUGGGUUCUCAGAACGUCAUAGUUUGGUUGUUUGUUUCCAUACACAUAUUUGUAAACUGUUGAAUGCAGGCAGCUCAAAUUUCUUCCUUGUCUGCUAAGAUUCAUCUACUUCUCAGUCGGCAGGCAAGGGUCCCUUGCUCCUUAACAACCAAGUCUUAAAUGAUAUGAAAUUGCUUUCAAUUCAAAUAACAGCCGACCUACUUUGUAGAAUUCCUCCAUCUAUUUCAAUAUUACUGCUAAAUCAACUCCAGAAAAUUGAAUAAAUAAAGAACAUAGGUGACACGUGGAGCGUUCAACGUCGCAAGUUAACGGAGUCACCGUCGCCACUCGUUAAGUAAUAUGGGUGGCGUCAAAAUCCUCGGUCUUAUAAAAAUAAUAUUACUCAAAUUAUAUUUCUCUCUUUCCACCUGUAACCUGCCACGCCCCCGGACCACUCCCUCCGUGCCUACCAGCUUCGGUGCUGCCAUCCCGAACCAAACCAACGUCCGAGAUCAAUCUCGCGCAUUUCAAC
rnacentral:lncRNA from 1 species